AGAAUGUCAAUACAUGGACUUACACCCGACUCCCAACAACAAUAAACAAUAGGAAACAGAAUGCCAAUAUAUGGACUUACACCCGACUCCCAACAAUCAAACAAAAGGAAACAGAAUGCCAAUACAUGGACUUACACCCAACUCCCAACAAUCAAACAAAAGGAAACAGAAGGCCAAUACAUGGACUUAUAUCCGACUCCUAACAAUAACAAACGCUAAC
rnacentral:lncRNA from 1 species